AACAACCACUACUGUAAUAAAACACAACUGCAUUUUAUAACAUGCAGACAAACAAACUCUACACAACAGAGCAUAUGAAGUUACCCCGUCCCUCAGUUAAAUUUUAUGCAGUUUAUGAAACGAUUCAACUUAAAAAUGUAUAAUCACACGCACAAACACAUGCACACACAAUAAAACUAUGUAAGUAGUAUAAACUUAUGCACUCCUCAGGACAAAACUGCACGUUUGCAUAAUUUCCACCCCAAUAUGAAAAAUUAUUUUUCAUAUUUUCAUAUUUUGACAGGUAAGCAUGGGAGGGAAUAUGAAAAAAACACAUGCAUUAUCUUCAGAUCCGAACCAAUCAGAAUGCAGUUUCAUUUUUCUAAACCGAUGAAACUGAAAGAAUAGAUAUCUAAGCACCUCUGCAUACUUUUUGUGUAGUAUUUACAAUGGCACAAAGUUGGUCUGUUUCUCGUAAUAAAUUCAACUUAUUUUUUGCUGUUAGCCUCUUUACUCUGCAGAAGUUACUGGAAGCAGAUUUUUUUUGUCCCUGCAUUCAAAUAUGGAAUAUAUUUUUGUCUCUGUUUUUCUUUGUCAUUCCAGGCUUAUUAUUAUGCUUUCUCUUUGUAAAAAAGCUGGAAUGCACCUGUUAUCGUGCACUGAAAACCCUUUUUCCAGCAUUGGCUUGGUUAACUUUGCUGCUGCUUGAUGGAAAAUAUUUUUCAUGCAUAUUGACUAACUGGGAAGGAGAAUAUGUCCCUAUGGACACUAAUACUAUGCAAAUGUGGUGCAAACCACAUGAUACAAAUAAAACAUCAAAUGAAGAAAAGAUGAAUAAGACUAUAAAGUACUACGCAUGGUCUCAGACCUCAGCCUUUUUCAGUCUUGUUCUCAUUAUGGUGGGAGUAUUAAUCUGGAAGAAACGAGAGUGCUGCAAAGACAAGAAUCAGUCCGACACCAGUGAAAUGGGUCCUCUCACAGAUAAACAAAAAGUGGAAGAAACUAUUGUUAACAUCAUAAACUCGCUGAAUGAGAAGUACACACAACAAUAAUCAACCAAUUCAACCCAAGCAUAAUUAACCAACAUUUUUUGCUAACUCGGAUGCAGCUUAUCAUUGCCUGCUGUCUUAUUUGUUUGUAUGUGGCAGAAUGCUAAAUAAAUGCAUGAUACAGAUUUUUAGUGCAACAUGAUUGAUGUUGGUGAGCAAUAAAAUAUUAAACUUGCCUUUUAAGGAGUGCAUUUGUUUUUCGUAAAGUUUAAUAUCCCUGAAAUUCUGCAGAAUUAAAAACUGUGCUGAAUCAACCUGUCUGAUCAAGGCCAGAGAGUCAUAUAUGAUAUGGUGAUCUUUCAUAUUCUCUCUUCACUCACUUAUAUAACUUAUCUUGCUUUAAGUUGUAUCUUUAUCUUCCUGACAAACAUUAGUAUUCUGAUAUUAUUUUCACAUUUACUUUUUCAAUGUAGACUAUACGUGUACUUUUUUCUCGAAUGUCUAAAAUCAUUGAAUAAAUUCAAAGCAUUCUGUUGUAUGAAAUAAAAUCUUCAAGAUCAUAUAAACACAAAA